rnacentral:rRNA from 1 species
CAGUCGCCGCGGGAAUACAGAGGGUGCGAGCGUUAAUCGGAUUUACUGGGCGUAAAGCGUGCGUAGGCGGCUUCUUAAGUCGGAUGUGAAAUCCCUGAGCUUAACUUAGGAAUUGCAUUCGAUACUGGGAAGCUAGAGUAUGGGAGAGGAUGGUAGAAUUCCAGGUGUAGCGGUGAAAUGCGUAGAGAUCUGGAGGAAUACCGAUGGCGAAGGCAGCCAUCUGGCCUAAUACUGACGCUGAGGUACGAAAGCGUGGGGAGCAAACAGGAUUAGAUACCCCGGUAGUCCCUGUCUCUUAUAC